UCCCUAGUUCGGAUUGUAGGCUGAAACUCGCCUACAUGAAGCUGGAAUUGCUAGUAAUCACAGGUCAGCAUACUGUGGUGAAUACGUUCCCGGGCCUUGUACACACCGCCCGUCACACCAUGAGAGUUGAGAAUACCCGAAGCCCAUGUCAAAGUGGUCGAAGGUAGGCUUGAUGAUUGGGGUGAAGUCGUAACAAGGUAUC
rnacentral:rRNA from 1 species